UAAGUGAAGAUAUUUAGUUAAAAGUGGAAUUAAUGAAUGAUUCAAAACUUUUAAUUUUUAUCACUAAGUUUUGUUACUUUUUAAUGAUAUUAAUUUAGGAUGACAUGUGGUACUCACUUGUGUGAUGAUUUAUCACUCAUAUGGAGAGAGCUGGCCAACUUUCAUAUAUAUGAUUUAUUUUUCCCACCUUUUCGGAUUUGAAUGCCACUGGGGACAGUGUCGUUUAAGUCUGAGGGAGGUUCUUACUAACAUUGCCUUUAUUUUUGAGUUUUAUUAUUUUCGUUU
rnacentral:sRNA from 1 species